GUGGGUUUAGCUCAGUUGGGAGAGCGCUAGACUGAAGUCAACUUUGGUCGCUGAAAUCUAGAGGUCUCGUGUUCGAUCCACGAAAUCCACA
rnacentral:tRNA from 1 species